UCUUUGUUUAGGCUCAGUGCCAGAAGAGACGUCACCAGUGCACACUGUACUUCUCUAAACCUCUUAACCUCAGACACUUCAACAUCAGACAUCAGAGCUGCACCGGAGAUUCACUAGAUUCAGAUCAUCACAAGAUUUUGCUGUAUAAAUGAAUGGCAGAACAUCAGUGGAGCGUCACAAACAACAUGAGCAGCAAAGAGAACAAGAGUCAAUCUACUGAAGCAGGAGAGAAACAGAGCAAGACACGAGUCAGACUGAACAGCUCUGG